CAGCUCCAGGAUCAGGUUAUGCAGUAGUUCCAUCAGUUUCAGCUGUACCAGGAGCGAAUCCUUCAACAGCUACAGCAGCAGCAGCCACAGUAGUAUCAGCCAGCUUCUUCCACUGCCUUCCCGCUCCAUCAUUGGAUUCAUCUAUUAUCCCACACAUUUCUUCAUUGAUGGAGCUAUUAUCAAACUUGAGUAUCAGAUUGCAGGGUGUGAAGAGCUCACUUUGAAGAUUUAGUGGCAGGAUUUUUGACUUGGAGAGGGAGAUUGGAUGGAUUGUAGACUCUCUUUCUGCUGGAGUGGGCACAUCGACUUCUUCUGCAUCACAGAUGGAUGAUCUGGCUCGAGAGAUAGACAGACUUCACUCACAGCUUCGCUCUUCUCUUAAGGUGCUCAGGAUAGAUAUCCGAGACUCCAAGGAUUUUCUGACAUCUGAUCUGGAUGGUUUCCGACUGACUGUGAGGGGUAUCCUGUCUCAGCUUGAUGCCAUCAGGACUCAGCUUCAGUCUAGGCCCUUUGCAUCUAGUGAGCCAGCCUUUGUUCAGCCUAUUGCUUUCCAUCCUCUGGCAUCUUUCUCUCAAUCCAGACCCUUCGAUCGCAGACGAGGUUGAUCAUAUCCCACUUUUCUCGAUCUCAUGCUCGAUGCCCAGUCUUCCUGAUUUUAUUUUGUAUUAAAUUACUUAGUUAUAUUUUAUAGAUUGGAUGUAUGAGAGCUUUAUGCUCUUUACGACUCUUGUAACCUCUAUUUUGGUGUAUAUGAAUGAGGUUGUUUCCUUUCUACUCAUGUCUCUUUGGAUGAAUGUUUAUUAUUAUGUCUCUUUAGAUGAAUGAAUGCUUAGUAUCAUUUUUUGUUGGAUGGAUGAAUGUGGUAUCAUGCUCUAUUUUCUUGAUACUUGACUUAAUACCAUGAACAUCCUAUUCUUCUAGUUUAUUCUUUUUGAUGAUGUCAAAAAGGAGGAGAAAUAAUGAAAAAAUAAAAAAUAAUGACAAAGGGGGAGAAAUAAAGGUAAAUGGAGAAAAUAAUGCAUUUGGGGGAGAAAUAAUGAUAUAAUGAUAAAGUGAAAAAAAUGGUGUAGUUCUUNNNNNNNNNNNNNNNNNNNNUUUACGACUCUUGUAACCUCUAUUUUUGGUGUAUAUGAAUGAGGUUGUUUCCUUUCUACUCAUGUCUCUUUGGAUGAAUGUUUAUUAUUAUGUCUCUUUAGAUGAAUGAAUGCUUAGUAUCAUUUUUUGUUGGAUGGAUGAAUGUGGUAUCAUGCUCUAUUUUCUUGAUACUUGACUUAAUACCAUGAACAUCCUAUUCUUCUAGUUUAUUCUUUUUGAUGAUGUCAAAAAGGAGGAGAAAUAAUGAAAAAAUAAAAAAUAAUGACAAAGGGGGAGAAAUAAAGGUAAAUGGAGAAAAUAAUGC
rnacentral:lncRNA from 1 species